CUUACAAUCCCGCCUGUUGGUGCUCGUGCCGGUCCUCACGCCGGUGCAGUUAAACGGGAAGCAGAGGAAACCAGUCCAUCGGACCGGUGUCCCGCCUGCGCUGCCCCCGCAACGGUCAGCGGACGAUGUGGUUCACCCCAUGUCAACUCGUGUGCAUACACCACUGGGAGGUUCUCCUGGGAAGGUCGCACGGGUCGGUCCGCCAGCCCGGAUACCGGCCAACGAGGUGGGGUGUGC
rnacentral:ncRNA from 2 species